rnacentral:rRNA from 1 species
UUAAGCGACUAAGCGUACACGGUGGAUGCCCUGGCAGUCAGAGGCGAUGAAGGACGUGCUAAUCUGCGAUAAGCGUCGGUAAGGUGAUAUGAACCGUUAUAACCGGCGAUUUCCGAAUGGGGAAACCCAGUGUGAUUCGUCACACUAUCAUUAACUGAAUCCAUAGGUUAAUGAGGCGAACCGGGGGAACUGAAACAUCUAAGUACCCCGAGGAAAAGAAAUCAACCGAGAUUCCCCCAGUAGCGGCGAGCGAACGGGGAGCAGCCCAGAGCCUGAAUCAGUGUGUGUGUUAGUGGAAGCGUCUGGAAAGGCGCGCGAUACAGGGUGACAGCCCCGUACACAAAAAUGCACAUGCUGUGAGCUCGAUGAGUAGGGCGGGACACGUGGUAUCCUGUCUGAAUAUGGGGGGACCAUCCUCCAAGGCUAAAUACUCCUGACUGACCGAUAGUGAACCAGUACCGUGAGGGAAAGGCGAAAAGAACCCCGGCGAGGGGAGUGAAAAAGAACCUGAAACCGUGUACGUACAAGCAGUGGGAGCACGCUUAGGCGUGUGACUGCGUACCUUUUGUAUAAUGGGUCAGCGACUUAUAUUCUGUAGCAAGGUUAACCGAAUAGGGGAGCCGAAGGGAAACCGAGUCUUAACUGGGCGUUAAGUUGCAGGGUAUAGACCCGAAACCCGGUGAUCUAGCCAUGGGCAGGUUGAAGGUUGGGUAACACUAACUGGAGGACCGAACCGACUAAUGUUGAAAAAUUAGCGGAUGACUUGUGGCUGGGGGUGAAAGGCCAAUCAAACCGGGAGAUAGCUGGUUCUCCCCGAAAGCUAUUUAGGUAGCGCCUCGUGAAUUCAUCUCCGGGGGUAGAGCACUGUUUCGGCAAGGGGGUCAUCCCGACUUACCAACCCGAUGCAAACUGCGAAUACCGGAGAAUGUUAUCACGGGAGACACACGGCGGGUGCUAACGUCCGUCGUGAAGAGGGAAACAACCCAGACCGCCAGCUAAGGUCCCAAAGUCAUGGUUAAGUGGGAAACGAUGUGGGAAGGCCCAGACAGCCAGGAUGUUGGCUUAGAAGCAGCCAUCAUUUAAAGAAAGCGUAAUAGCUCACUGGUCGAGUCGGCCUGCGCGGAAGAUGUAACGGGGCUAAACCAUGCACCGAAGCUGCGGCAGCGACGCUUAUGCGUUGUUGGGUAGGGGAGCGUUCUGUAAGCCUGCGAAGGUGUGCUGUGAGGCAUGCUGGAGGUAUCAGAAGUGCGAAUGCUGACAUAAGUAACGAUAAAGCGGGUGAAAAGCCCGCUCGCCGGAAGACCAAGGGUUCCUGUCCAACGUUAAUCGGGGCAGGGUGAGUCGACCCCUAAGGCGAGGCCGAAAGGCGUAGUCGAUGGGAAACAGGUUAAUAUUCCUGUACUUGGUGUUACUGCGAAGGGGGGACGGAGAAGGCUAUGUUGGCCGGGCGACGGUUGUCCCGGUUUAAGCGUGUAGGCUGGUUUUCCAGGCAAAUCCGGAAAACUAAGGCUGAGGCGUGAUGACGAGGCACUACGGUGCUGAAGCAACAAAUGCCCUGCUUCCAGGAAAAGCCUCUAAGCAUCAGGUAACAUCAAAUCGUACCCCAAACCGACACAGGUGGUCAGGUAGAGAAUACCAAGGCGCUUGAGAGAACUCGGGUGAAGGAACUAGGCAAAAUGGUGCCGUAACUUCGGGAGAAGGCACGCUGAUAUGUAGGUGAAGUCCCUCGCGGAUGGAGCUGAAAUCAGUCGAAGAUACCAGCUGGCUGCAACUGUUUAUUAAAAACACAGCACUGUGCAAACACGAAAGUGGACGUAUACGGUGUGACGCCUGCCCGGUGCCGGAAGGUUAAUUGAUGGGGUCAGCGCAAGCGAAGCUCUUGAUCGAAGCCCCGGUAAACGGCGGCCGUAACUAUAACGGUCCUAAGGUAGCGAAAUUCCUUGUCGGGUAAGUUCCGACCUGCACGAAUGGCGUAAUGAUGGCCAGGCUGUCUCCACCCGAGACUCAGUGAAAUUGAACUCGCUGUGAAGAUGCAGUGUACCCGCGGCAAGACGGAAAGACCCCGUGAACCUUUACUAUAGCUUGACACUGAACAUUGAGCCUUGAUGUGUAGGAUAGGUGGGAGGCUUUGAAGUGUGGACGCCAGUCUGCAUGGAGCCGACCUUGAAAUACCACCCUUUAAUGUUUGAUGUUCUAACGUUGACCCGUAAUCCGGGUUGCGGACAGUGUCUGGUGGGUAGUUUGACUGGGGCGGUCUCCUCCUAAAGAGUAACGGAGGAGCACGAAGGUUGGCUAAUCCUGGUCGGACAUCAGGAGGUUAGUGCAAUGGCAUAAGCCAGCUUGACUGCGAGCGUGACGGCGCGAGCAGGUGCGAAAGCAGGUCAUAGUGAUCCGGUGGUUCUGAAUGGAAGGGCCAUCGCUCAACGGAUAAAAGGUACUCCGGGGAUAACAGGCUGAUACCGCCCAAGAGUUCAUAUCGACGGCGGUGUUUGGCACCUCGAUGUCGGCUCAUCACAUCCUGGGGCUGAAGUAGGUCCCAAGGGUAUGGCUGUUCGCCAUUUAAAGUGGUACGCGAGCUGGGUUUAGAACGUCGUGAGACAGUUCGGUCCCUAUCUGCCGUGGGCGCUGGAGAACUGAGGGGGGCUGCUCCUAGUACGAGAGGACCGGAGUGGACGCAUCACUGGUGUUCGGGUUGUCAUGCCAAUGGCACUGCCCGGUAGCUAAAUGCGGAAGAGAUAAGUGCUGAAAGCAUCUAAGCACGAAACUUGCCCCGAGAUGAGUUCUCCCUGACUCCUUGAGAGUCCUGAAGGAACGUUGAAGACGACGACGUUGAUAGGCCGGAUGUGUAAGCGCAGCGAUGCGUUGAGCUAACCGGUACUAAUGAACCGUGAGGCUUAACCUU